CCGGGCUAAUACCGCGGGACGUGCAGCCAUCGCAUGGUGGCUGUACCAAAGGGGGCCUCUACUUGUAAGCUCUCGCCCAGGGAGGAGGUCGCGGCGUAUCAGGCUUGUUGGUGGGGUAACGGCCUACCAAGGCGACGACGCGUAGCGGGUCUGAGAGGACGAUCCGUCACGUUGGGACUGAGAUACGGCCCAGACUUC
rnacentral:rRNA from 1 species